rnacentral:tRNA from 1 species
UAUCUUUCUAGUACUAACGUUAGUAUAAGUGACUUCCAAUCACCUGGUCUUGGUUAAAAUCCAAGGAAAGAUAA